rnacentral:rRNA from 1 species
CGGGGUGAGUAAUGUCUGGGAAACUGCCUGAUGAGGGGGAGUAACUACUGGAAACGGUAGCUAAUACCGCAUAACGUCGCAAGACCAAAGUGGGGGACCUUCGGGCCUCAUGCCAUCAGAUGUGCCCAGAUGGGAUUAGCUAGUAGGUGGGGUAACGGCCCACCUAGGCGACGAUCCCUAGCUGGUCUGAGAGGAUGACCAGCCACACUGGAACUGAGACACGGUCCAG